AUUCCCUCACGUCAUCUUAGCGGGCGGGCAUUUUACCCUCUCACACGAUCACAAGAAGGAUAAAGAGAAUCAAAUGACCAGACUUCUGCAGGAGUAACAUGUGAAACAAAACAUUUGGAGAGCUUCAACUUUGAUCUUCUGAAUUACUCACUCAGGAUGAAACCACCUGCUAUGCUGUGAAGAAACUCGAGCAGCCCUAGGAAGAGGAACUGAGAUCCCCCAUGAAAAGCCAACAUCAACCAAAUGAACCACCCUGGAAGUAGAUUUGCAACCCCGCUCAAGCCUUCAGAUGACAUCAACCCCAGUGGACAUCUGAUAGCCCCUUCAUGAGAGACCCCAAGUCAGAACUGCCCAGCCAAGCCACACCUAAAUU